GAAGCUGGGACAGCAGAAGGAAGGGUGAGGAGUUGGGGUGGUAGGUGAGAUGGAAUGAGGACACCGAGUUCUGCAGACUGCUUCUUGCUGACGUGAGGACAUUGGUCAUCUUUGGCGCACCUGAGAAUGCUGGGGUGCUGGCCACAUCCUGGCGUAGCUGGUUGUUUCACUGAUGUCUAGGCUCUUUGGAACCGGCUGGCACUGCUUGGAUCUGGUGAGUUGCUACCAGGCAGAAGAUAAAGUUAAGCUUAGGGGGGAAAUUUUUUUUUUUUAGGUUCUGGUAGUUGAUGGAGGGGAUUCCCAAGGUUAAGGAAAUAUGGGGUGGCUUAGGCUGUUAAUUGAUAGUACUUAACUGAGUACUGCAUCUGACCAGUUGACUCCAGGAGCUCCCAAGACUUCUUUGAGUUUGUGUGAAGGUAAGUUUUAGACACAUUAGCAUUUCCACUGUUUAUAAUCUGUACUGACAUUUACGUUGUAGAAACUCGAGUCUUUGAGUCACAGGGGAUCCAGAAAAGAUUUCGGUUGAAAGCGUUAACAUUCUCUUUCUAUCUUGAGCUAUUUCAGACUACACAGCUCUUGUCUGUGUGCCCCUUCCCUUCCCUCCGGCUCCUUCUCUCUCUCACUUAUUUCUCUCCCUGGGUGGCUAUGGCUCCCCCUCCCCUUCCUUGCCAUGCUCCCAGUCUUCGCCCUUGCUCAGGUGUGGCUGCAUUUCUGCUGGGCUACUCCUGGCCGGGCUCCAGAGAGCAGCACCUAGCCCAUCCCAUCCUUUGUUUAACCGGCACUUUUUGUUUCUCUUAUCGCCCUAUGUGAAUCUUGUCGGAGAGUCUCCUAAGGAUACAAAUCCCUAUGCAGAACUUGGUUCAGGAAACCUGGAAAACCGUGGCACCUGAGAAAUCAAGGAAUUUGCACUUGGCAUUUUUAUCUUGGCGAGCUCCUUUCAAGUUGCUUUGAAGGCCAAAAGAGGGCACCAGAUCUCCUUACAGGUGGUUGUGAG